rnacentral:lncRNA from 9 species
GUUCCCGGGGAACAAGCCAUCAGCUGACAACUGGAUGCUCCAGGUGCUCAAGGCAGGAUGGAUGAAAAUUAUAACCUCUUACCUCAUGGAGUUAAUUUCCAAGGUGCCAUCUUCUGAGACACUCAAGAGAACAGAAGGUUUUCUAGCUCGUUCCAGUUUUCAAAUCGUUCCCAAGGGCAGCAACUGGUGACUUUUUCCAAUGACUGGGAGAUCCAAGAAGAAAAUAGGGGAAAUAUUCUGUAUACAGCUGUAGAUUUGGUGUGUCCCUGGCAGGAGGUGUGCUCAGGAUCCUUUUAUGUCACCGUCUUAAACUGGACCCUGUCUCUUUUUGCACAUGUGCUCCUUGGUGCAGAAGGCCCUGUUUGAGGAGGAGGACCACAUCCAGAAGCUGCAGCAGAAGGUGGCCACCCUGGAGAAGGGGAACAAGCAGGUGUGAGAUCCAGUGAAGAAGGUCAAGGAGGUCCCAAGUGCACAAGAACGGCUGCCGCCUGGAGCUGCUAAACUGAAAGAGAAGCUGCCAGAUACAUCAAAAAUACAUCUAGAUGUGGAACAAUUCUCACGGAACACCUACUGCGCGCUGGCAGGUAAAAGGACCAACGUUGUAGGACACAGCCCCAUAUACCCAGCUCCUGAGGAGGAAUACUCAAGUUUUGCUCUUCUCCCAGAAGUGCUCCAGUCCCACCUACCUCACACCAGAAAUGGCUCAGAAAUGGCUUCUCCUCCAAUAACUGGGGAACAAACAGACUCUGACAACCACAGAGCAAAGAGGCCCUGCACAACAUCCAGAGCAGGCUCUGGUUACCACAACACCAGUCACACACUAUCAAGGGGAUAACAGCCAGCACAGACUGAGGAAAGAUGUGGGAUGCAUCCAUACUAAAAACAGGCAUCACACCAAAAAUAUUAGACUCGUGUAGGCUAUACAGGGAUGCUCCCAUAUAUAAACAUCCCUCCAAGACCACAAAAUAGCUCUUUGUCCUAAACUCAUAGAGUCAGAGAAAUAGAAGUAAAAAGCAGAAGAACCACUCCCAAUGAAAAGAUCAAGAGAAAACCCCUGAAAGAACAAACAGUGAAAAAGACCUCUCCAGUCUACAAGACCCUGAGUUCAGAAAGGCGGUAAUAAAAGUACUAAAUGGAUUAGGAAAGACUGUUGAUAGAAAUACAGGUUAUUGAAAAAAGGAACCAGAAACUGUAAGGAGGAGCCAACUAGAAAACUCAUUUGCUGAAAUAGAAGCUGAGCUAAGUGCAAUGCAUAGCAAACUGAAUAAUGCAGAAGCACAAAUAAGUGAUCUGGAAUUUUGAAUAAUGAAAAUCACCCAAUCGGAACAGUAGAAAAACAAAACAAAACAAAAAAAGAGCAAUAUACCAGACCUAUGGAAUAAUAUAGAAUGUACCAAUCUAUGCAUAAUCGGGAUCCCAGAGGAGAGGAAAGAAAAAAAGAGGAUUGAAAAUAUAUUUGAAGAAAUUAGGGCUUAAAAUUUCCCAACCUAAUAAAGGAAACAUACCCAGGUACAGGAACCAUAGAGAUUCCUAAGCACUAUGAACUCAGACAGACAUAACUAAAAUAGCAGCAGUUACAGGCAACAAGAGAAAAAGUUAAUUUCAAGGGAACCCCUCUAAGGCUAUAAGCUGAUUUCUCUACAGGAACAUUGCAGGCCAGAAAGGACAUGCAAGGUAUGUUCAAAGUUCUGAAAGGGAAAAACCUGCUACUGAAGAUACCCUACCUAGCAAGAGAAUCAUUUAGAAUAGAAGGAGAGAGAAAGAAUUUCUCAUGAAAGAACAAAACCAAUACAGCAAUACCAAACCUAUCCCAAAGGAAAUAUUGCAAGUUCUCUAAAUAGAAAACAAGCUAGACAAUAGAGGAAGGAGAAACUCACAGUUGGGAAGUAAACCACUUAAAUAAGCCAGAGGUAAAAAAAUUUUGUGUGUGAAAGUGAUAACUACAAUGAACAAAAAAAUUAAAAUGGGGAGGGGAGUAAGAGAAUGUAGAUUUUUUUUUUAGAAUGUACUUGAGCCUGUAUAACUACCAGUCUAAAGCAAGUAGAUAUAAAAUGGGUUAAUAUACUUGAAAAACAUGGUAACCACACAUCAAAAACAUGCAAUAGAUUCAUGAAAACUAAGAGAAUAUAAGUAUAAUAUGAAAGAAAACCAUCAAACCACAAAAGGAAACAGAACUAAGGAGAAAUACAAAAUCAACUGGAAAACAAGGUUUACAAUGGCAGUGAUUACAUAUAUCAAUAAUCAUGAUAGAUGUCCAUACACUAAAUGCUCCAAUCAAAAGACACCCAGUGCCAGACUGGAUAAUAAAACACAAGCCCACAAGAUGCUGCCUACAAGAGAACCACUUUAGGGCAAAGGACAUACAUAGACUGAAAGUGAAGGAGAUAGAAAAAGAUUUCAUGCAAACAAAUGAUGAAGCGGGGGAUGCAAAAUAGACUUUUAAACAAAGGCCCAUGGAAUAUGUAUGCUGUGGUACACGGAAAAACUGGCCAACAGGAGCUUGUUCUACCAGCACAGGGAGCUCUAUCCAAUAUUCUGUGAUGAUCUACAUAAGAAAGAGUGAAAAAGAAUGGGUGUGUGUAUAUGAAUAAAUUAAUCAUUUUGUUGUGCAGCAGAAAUUAUAACAUUGUAAAUCAUGAAGAAAGAUAAAGGACACUAUAUAAUAAAGUGAACAAUACAAGACAAGGAUAUUACAUGCAUUUAUAUAUGUACCCAAUAUAAGAGCACCUAAAUAUAUAAAAUUAACAAAAGGAAUGAAUUGAUGGCAAUACAAUAAUAAGCUUUAAAACCCCACUCACGUCAAUGGACAGAUCUUCUAGAGAGAAAAUCAGUAAGACAACAAAGAUCCUAAAUGAUACAUUAGAUGAGUUACCUAAUUGAUAGUUUCAGGACAUUGUAUCAGAAAAAAUUAACUGGAAUACACAUUCUUUUCAAGCGCACAUGAAACAUUCUCUAGGACUGACCACAUACUAAGACACAAAACUGACCUCAGCAAGUUUAAGAGGAAAGAAAUUACUUCAGGCAUCUUUUCUGACCACAACAGUAUGGAAUUAUAAAUUAACCACAAGAAAAGAGAAAAAAAUUGCAUGGAGAUUUAAACAAUAUGCUACUGAAAGUAAAUAGGUCAAUGACGAAAUCAAACAGUAAAUUUUAAAAAUGCCUUGGGACAAGUAAAUGAAAAUAUAACCAUACAAACUCUGUGGGAUGCAGAAAAAGCAGUCCUUAGAGGGAAGUUCCUAGUGAUACAGGCCUUCUUUAAAAAGUAAAAAUCACAAACAACCUAACUCACUAUCUAAUAGAAUUAGGAAAAGAAAAACAACACCUGAAGUCAGCAGAAGGAAGGAAAGCAUGAAGAUGAGAGAGGAAAUAAAGAUUUUUAAAACUUGGGAAAAAAGCAAUAAAACCAAAAGCUUAUGGGCGUUCCCGUUGUGGUGCAGUGGAAAUGAAUCUGACUAGUAUUCUUGAGGAUAUGGGUUCAAUUCCUCCCUCACUCAGUGGGUCAGGGAUCUGGUAUUGCCUUGAGCUACAGGGCAUGGAUUAUAUGUUGCUGUGGCUGUGGUGUAGGCCAGGAGCAAUCCAAACCCUAGCCUGGGAACUUCCAUAUGCUGUGGGUGUGGCCCUAAAAAGAAAAAGGAAAAAAAAAUUAGUUAAUCUGAACAAAUCUACCACUAGAAGUGAAAUAGAAUCUAAUUUUAAACUCCCUGCAAACAAAAGUCCAGGACCAGAAAGCUUCUUUGGGGAAUUCUACCGUGUAUACAAAGAACUUCUUCUAUUGAUCCUUUUCAAACUCUUCCAAAAACUGAAGAAAAAGGAACACUCCCAAAGUCAUUUUAUGAAGCCACAAUCACCCUGAUACCAAAACCAAAGACACUGCCAAAAAAGAAAAUUAUAGGCUAAUAUCUGAUGAAUAUAGAUACAAGAAAAUCUCAACAAAAUAUUAGCCAACUGCAUCCACCAACAUAUACAAAAGGUUAUACGAAGACUAAGUUGGAUUCAUCCCAGGGUCACAAAGAUAGUUCAACAAAUGCAAAUCAAUCAGUAUGCUACACCGCAUCAACAAAUGAAAAGACAAAAAAACAAAUAAUCAUCUCAAUAGAUGCAGAAAAAGCCUAUGAUAAAAUUCAACAUCCAUUCAUGAUAAAACCUCUUACCAAAGUGGACAUAGAACAUUUCAACAUAAUAAAAACUAUUUAUGGAGCUCCUGUCAUGGCUCUCAGAAAAAUACCAAAAAGGGAAAGUACAAAAUAGUAUCUUUAAAAUUUGCAUUAGGAGUUCCCAUCGUGGCUCAGUGGUUAACGAAUCCGACUAGGAACCAUGAGGUUGCAGGUUCGAUCCCUGGCCUUGCUUAGUGGGUUAAGGAUCCGGUGUUGCCAUGAGCUGUGGUGUAGAUUGCAGAUGCGGCUCAGAUCUGGCAUUGCUGUGGCUCUGGCGUAGGCCAGCGGCUCCAGCUCCAAUUCAACCCCUAGCCUGGGAACCUCCAUAUGCCACGGGAACGGCCCAAGAAAAUGGCAAAAAA